GCUUGCUUUAUCUGAUUUACAAACUAAGGCUGAAAGAGAGAUUAGCAAAGCUCAAAAACUUAUCUCUGAAAAAGAUGUUGAACUACUUGCUGCUGAAGAAAGCCUUUCUGGAUUGGUGGAGGUUAAAAUCCAAUACACUGGGGAUGGUGAAAUUGUGGAGGUGGCAGGUAGCUUCAGUGGUUGGCAUCACCCGAUUAAAAUGGAUCCUCAGCCAUCUUCUAGCAAUUCAGAUACUACAGGAUCAAGGUUUAAGUCUAUCAUUUGAUAAAUAUUGCCUGCAUAUUCAAACAUAAUUUCCUUUUUUUUUCAUCAUUUUGAGGUAGCUAAUUAUCUCUGUUAAGGAAUUUCAACUUUACUCCCAUUCUUUGGAACACUGUUAAUUGCAUCAAAUUAUCAAAUUCAUUCUGUUUCUGUUUGAUUUCCUGUGUUUUCUUUUGAUGUAAAAUAUGGCUAGCUUCGAGAUUAUGGUCAUUGCAAAACAUUUGUGGCAAUUUAUCAAAUUUUGGGAAUGCUGAUGUAGCAGAUAAAUGGACCAAAAUAUGAACAGAAUGGCUUUUCCUUUUCUUGUUUUGGAGCAAAAUGUUUCUGGAAAAGGUUUUUGUUAUGGUCCUCAUGUAACAUCAGCUAUGUGGAAACUGGAUGCUAGAGGUGGGUCGAUAGGUACAAAACCAUUGUUGGAAAAUUUUUGCCUAAAGUGGGUCUAGUAGACUGAGCCAAUUGUUUUGAAUCAAAAUCACAAAAAGUGUAUUAGAAUAAAACAAGUUAUGAAAUAAAAUUUGAAAUUUUGCAAAAUCAUUUGUUUGGUCGAUAUAUGUAGGUAUUUGACCUGGUUUAGGCAAGAAAAAUGCCAUGAGGUUGCUUUGUAAGUUUCUUUCAGGCAUGCUGCAGAACAAAGUGAUUCUGUUGUAGAAUUCUGUUAUACAAUAGUCAUUAAUGCAUCUUGUGCUGAUGUUAGAGCAAUUAUAUCAUUUUGAUUUCUGAAUUUUCCAAGAAAUGUGAACCUUUCCAAGUUCUUUUUUUGCUGUGUUGUCUUUUCUCACUCUAUCAUGCUAUGAAUCUCCACCUCUUUUUUUUUCUUCUCCGUUCCUAUAAUUUUUUCUAGAAUUGGUGAGGAAUAAUAAACCCACUGGUCAAAUGUUUUCCAGGAAAUCCAGAUUUUGGUCAACAAUGCUGUGGCUUUAUCCAGGUGUAUAUG
rnacentral:misc_RNA from 1 species